rnacentral:rRNA from 1 species
ACUGAGUGGCGGACGGGUGAGUAACGCGUGGGUAACCUGCCCUGUACAGGGGGACAACAGUUAGAAAUGACUGCUAAUACCGCAUAAGCGCACAGGACCGCAUGGUCCGGUGUGAAAAACUCCGGUGGUACAGGAUGGACCUGCGUCUGAUUAGGUAGUUGGCGGGGUAACGGCCCACCAAGCCGACGAUCAGUAGCCGACCUGAGAGGGUGACCGGCCACAUUGGGACUGAGACACGGCCCAAACUCCUACGGGAGGCAGCAG